rnacentral:rRNA from 1 species
CCUACGGGUGGCAGCAGUGGGGAAUAUUGCACAAUGGAGGAAACUCUGAUGCAGCGACGCCGCGUGAACGAUGAAGGCUUUCGAGUCGUAAAGUUCUGUCCUAGGGGACGAUAAUGACGGUACCCUAGGAGGAAGCCCCGGCUAAUUACGUGCCAGCAGCCGCGGUAAUACGUAAGGGGCGAGCGUUGUCCGGAAUUAUUGGGCGUAAAGGGUUCGCAGGCGGCCUUUUAAGUCAGAUGUGAAAUCUCACGGCUUAACCGUGGUAAGCAUUUGAAACUGGAAGGCUUGAGUUAAGGAGAGGAAAGUGGAAUUCCUAGUGUAGCGGUGAAAUGCGUAGAUGUUAGGAAGAAUACCAGUGGCGAAGGCGACUUUCUGGACUUAUACUGACGCUGAGGACGAAAGCAUGGGGAGCAAACAGGAUUAGAUA